rnacentral:rRNA from 1 species
UACGUAGGUGGCAAGCGUUGUCCGGAUUUACUGGGCGUAAAGCGUGCGCAGGCGGUUCGUUAAGUUCGUUGUGAAAGCCCCGGGCUCAACCUGGGAACUGCAAUGGAAACUGGCGGGCUUGAAUGCGGCAGAGGGGGGUGGAAUUCCGCGUGUAGCAGUGAAAUGCGUAGAGAUGCGGAGGAACACCGAUGGCGAAGGCAGCCCCCUGGGCCGACAUUGACGCUCAGGCACGAAAGCGUGGGGAGCAAACGGG